UAUAUAAGCUAUAUCCAAUUAUAAAAGUUGACUAGUCGUAAAGUAUUUUUGUUUAAUCUUUGAGUCUUCUUAAUUCUCUUGUGUAUUAGUGAGGGAGAGUGAGAUUGAAAAGAUCAUCAACGUUACUAAUCCCAUAGCCAUGGAAAAAGCUCCCAGUUCAAGUGUCACUCCCUCGAGAGAACCUUCCUUCAAGAACUACGGAUCAGGGCAACAAAAUUUCGAAGAUUCACAGAUUAAAAGCGAUUCAUGUUCAUGUGUUCUAAGCAGAAAUGGGUCUGGUAAAGUGGUUUACGACGGGGGAGCUGGCCAAAAUUUCGAGAAUUCAAAGAUAAACGGUGUAAAAGUGGAAUCGGUGACCACAUCAUCUUCUGCAUCAAAGAGCACAAGCAGUGAGAUCUAUUGCACUACUUGUGGAUCCUUCAUCAACCAUGGAACUGGAUCCCAGAAAUUUCAAGGUUCCGUGAUUCGUAUUGGUCCAAAUUAAGUGCUGGGAGAGCAGGUUCGCAAGAGGGACAAUGAUGUUCUGAUGUUUGUGUUUUGGUACUUUAUGUUUGGUGUUUGUUAGUGUUAAGUUAUUCUGUGGAGUUUAAUGAGCUAGACCCUUCCCCAGAUGGAUAUUUGUGUCUUGUUAUGCCUUUCCUUUUAUCAACAACUCAUAUCUCCUAAAACUUUUAUGCUCUAAAUAACACCAUGAGUGUUGGAAUGUGAUGUAAUUGGAUUUCCUUUUAUCUGCUUUGUCUUUUCAAUAUAGUGCUGUUUGUGUGA